rnacentral:rRNA from 1 species
GACGAACGCUGGCGGCGUGCCUAAUACAUGCAAGUAGAACGCUGAAGGAGGAGCUUGCUUCUCUGGAUGAGUUGCGAACGGGUGAGUAACGCGUAGGUAACCUGCCUGGUAGCGGGGGAUAACUAUUGGAAACGAUAGCUAAUACCGCAUAAGAGUAGAUGUUGCAUGACAUUUGCUUAAAAGGUGCAAUUGCAUCACUACCAGAUGGACCUGCGUUGUAUUAGCUAGUUGGUGAGGUAACGGCUCACCAAGGCAACGAUACAUAGCCGACCUGAGAGGGGGAUCGGCCACACUGGGACUGAGACACGGCCCAGACUCCUACGGGAGGCAGCAGUAGGGAAUCUUCGGCAAUGGACGGAAGUCUGACCGAGCAACGCCGCGUGAGUGAAGAAGGUUUUCGGAUCGUAAAGCUCUGUUGUAAGAGAAGAACGAGUGUGAGAGUGGAAAGUUCACACUGUGACGGUAGCUUACCAGAAAGGGACGGCUAACUACGUG